rnacentral:rRNA from 1 species
AGAGUUUGAUCAUGGCUCAGGACGAACGCUGGCGGCAUGCCUAAUACAUGCAAGUCGAGCGGAGUUGUUUUGAAAGCUUGCUUUCAAAACAACUUAGCGGCGGACGGGUGAGUAACACGUAGGUAACCUGCCUGUAAGACUGGGAUAACUACCGGAAACGGUAGCUAAUACCGGAUAAUUUGUUUCUUCUCAUGAAGAGACACUGAAAGGCGGAGUAAUCUGCCACUUAUAGAUGGGCCUGCGGCGCAUUAGCUAGUUGGUGAGGUAACGGCUCACCAAGGCGACGAUGCGUAGCCGACCUGAGAGGGUGAACGGCCACACUGGGACUGAGACACGGCCCAGACUCCUACGGGAGGCAGCAGUAGGGAAUCUUCCGCAAUGGACGAAAGUCUGACGGAGCAAUGCCGCGUGAGUGAUGAAGGUUUUCGGAUCGUAAAGCUCUGUUGCCAGGGAAGAACGCUUGGGAGAGUAACUGCUCUCAAGGUGACGGUACCUGAGAAGAAAGCCCCGGCUAACUACGUGCCAGCAGCCGCGGUAAUACGUAGGGGGCAAGCGUUGUCCGGAAUUAUUGGGCGUAAAGCGCGCGCAGGCGGUCCUUUAAGUCUGAUGUGAAAGCCCACGGCACAACCGUGGAGGGUCAUUGGAAACUGGGGGACUUGAGUGCAGAAGAGGAGAGCGGAAUUCCACGUGUAGCGGUGAAAUGCGUAGAGAUGUGGAGGAACACCAGUGGCGAAGCGGCUCUCUGGUCUGUAACUGACGCUGAGCGCGAAAGCGUGGGGAGCAACAGGAUUAGAUACCCUGGUAGUCCACGCCGUAACGAUGAGUGCUAAGUGUUAGGGGUUCCGCCCCUUAGUGCUGCAGCUAACGCAUUAAGCA